ACCUCUCUUCAGCGGACAGCUGCCAAUCGUUCUAGCGCAGCGAGUUGGAAGUUUUCUAUCUCUGAAUCUGCUGCUGUGAUAAAAGAUUUAUCAAGAUGUGUGGCUCAUUUACCUGUUCAAAAAAUUCCCUCAUAGCGCUUAACAUCGUGUAUGUGCUGGUGGCCAUAUUGCUGAUUGGUGUGGCUGGUGCUGCGAAGUACACAGCCAUUGUCACAUCCCUGGCGAUUGUGUCCGGCAUUAUAGCAUGCGGUGUAUUCUUGCUUAUGAUCUCAACUGUUGGCCUAAUCGCUGCAUCCAGACACCAUCAGGUACUCCUGUUUUUCUACAUGAUUGUUCUCUUCAUCAUAUUUGUGAUCCAGUUUGGAGUGGCAUGUGCUUGCUUGGCCAUAAAUGAGAAUCAGCAAGAGAUUGCAUUAAACAAGGGUUGGAGUGCAUCUAGUGAUGAGCUAAAAAGGGAGGCACAGAUGGUGUACAACUGCUGUGGGUAUGACUCCCUCACAAACUCGUCUUACACGCACCCCGAGUGCACCAUGGUUAAGAAUGACAAAGGUGUGGAAUGCUGCCCUGGAGCCACUGCGGCCAACUGCUGCACGGAUGACAACUCAUGCCAGUGUCCGGUGUGCAAGCCCAGACUUAUGACCGCCAUCGGCCAGGCCUUCAGUGCUGUCGGUGGUGUAGGUCUCUUCUUCUCCUUCAGCGAGUUCUUAGGCGUAUGGCUGACAGUGCGCUACAGGAACCAACGCGACCCUCGGGCCAACCCAUCUGCAUUUCUCUAAACCAAGACUAUAUUAUGAUCAUUACUUUGCCCAUAAUCUAAUUUCCUGAAUAGACACUCAUUAUUGAAUCACACUUCUUUCUGGAAUCACACAUUUUCCGCGAAUCACACUUCUUCCACAUCCUCUUCCAUUAUUUUCAUAGGUUGCAUUUUCGAUGACGUUACGAGUGCCGCCAGUAACCAGACUAUAAUAUUCUCCGACAAACAAUAAUACAACUCCUUGAAUUAUUUUCUCUAUAAUUCAUAAGUAAAUGAUUUAUUUUUCGUUUUUACUGUCCCAGUUUAUCUACUACACUUGCUCAUCAUAACUAGUUUAGUUCUCAAGCUUCCUUUUCUGUUAACUAUUCUCUCUUUGAAUUUUCUGUACUCCGUUUUGUAUCGAAAUUUUCCUCAAUGCUUCCUCUGUACCUCGGUUUUAUCUCACUGUUUGGUUCGACUUCAUCUUGAGGUACUGGAUUGUUGCUGUUGAAAUUCUCAGGCGUAUUUGCUUAGCUUUGUUCUUUCAACGCUUUGUAAAGCGCCUAGCUAUCGCCAUGACGAAAUAACUCAAUUAUCGAUUCGAUCGCUCAAUUUUCUUCGUGGUUUGAGAAUUUAUCUUUUUGUUCAAUUUGACAACUGCAGGUCUGAAUUUCCUGCAAUCGCUUGCCGUCACAAAGGAAGGAAUGAGCGGCUUUCUUUUGACCAUGGUUUUUGUAUGGGGUGACAUGGCCAUUCAUUAUAUCGUCAUUGUUUUAUUGACAUAUUCUAACCAUUUGCCUUUUUGAAAUGAACAUCUUCAUAUCUAUUAUUAUGUAAACACAUAUAUGGGCAUUGUUAGAGUUAUGAUAGAAAAGGAAUUGUUUUAAAUUAUACGAAUGUUUUCUUGUCUUUUUUAUUUUUUGAGGCGUUAAAUUAGAAUUUCUAAACUCGUUAACUAAAUUCAACGUCGCGAUUUAUUAAUCACGCAAUUGAAUUAUGCUUUAGUUUAGUUAGCGAGUGUUGUUCAUUAUUGAAUUAUCAUGUUGCGUACAGUAGUGCGCUGAUGAACUCUUUUAAAUACAGCCUCCAUUGAUUCUAUUGGCCGAUGCAUGAGUGACCUUGCGACGUCUAUUGACAGAUGAGCAAGUUGUUUCCCGGCGUCUAUUGACAGAUUUUAGUUUGUCCUCUAUGCGUGUUGAUAACUUUCACGCUGACUUGUUUAGCGUUCUUGGACUUGGUAAUGAAAGACUAUAUGAAUGCAUCAAAUGCGAAACUAUUGACGUUGUAUUUUAGAGAACCGCAGUUGAAAUAUUUAAUUGAAUAAUAAACUGAAUAUUAUAGAAUAAUAGCAGUUGAAUAAUAAAUUUAUAGAUUCUAGUAAUAGAGAUCAAAUUAGAGUCUUAGGCCUUAACUGAAUUGUUAUUGGUAACAAUGUCGUCUUGCUAUUACUCAAUAUUCACUCAUAGCCUUCAUAUAUAUUAUUCUCUAGGCCACAGCAGAAACCGUUCUGGUAGCGCUGUUUAGCUAAUGUGUUUUCCCCUGCUUUUUUGGGAUCCCACAGCAACGGUUUGUUUGAGUGUAGGAAUACAUCGUGACGUUGGGAAUUCAGUACCGAGAUAUUUUGGUUCUAUGGAAUUUACCCUUUACAUUGCCACCUUAAUUGGUUGUAGACAGUUAAGGAUUCUUGAUCUAUAAUCAAAUUAUAUAAUCCCUAUAAUUAGAUUUUAUUGUCAGAAAUAAGAGAUGGUGUUCCUCAAGAUGAGUCAUGUUUAAUAUGUAGAUCAAAUGACUAGUUUUUCGUGAUUGUAGCAACUAUUGUGUGGGUUUGUGCUUACGUAUUACUGAGUUCCAUACGAUCAAAUGUUUGCUAGUCUUAAUUAAUUGUUAGAUUUCAUUUCAGUUUUAAGGUCAUCCUCGCGUUCCUAUUAUUAAGUCUUCUAAAAACAUUCUGUGCAUUGAAACAUUGUGAAACAUGGAGUUGCCAACAACGUAUAGAGUUCGCGUUUGUAGCGAUUCUUCAUGGCCUCGAGCUCGCUGGUCUGACGCUGUCUAGCUGACGGCAUUCGUGACAUUUUAACCGUUUUUCGUUCUUGGAUUUUCGCUCAGUGUUGGAUUUUAAAUUUUUCUGAAUUUUUGUUUCGCUCAUUCGUUACAUUAAGCCGCAAAGUACGCUGUUUUCCUUACAAAGGCAGUUUAUAAUCGUACCGCCUUGAAUAAAGACGAAUCGACGUUGUUGAUGCCACGUAAAUUUUGUAUGUUGAAAUAUUAAACUGUAUGUAUGAAUAGUCUUUCUAUUGUGAUCGUCAUUUUACUCGUUCAGAAGCAUCACUUUAUUUGACGUAUUUUUUUAUCUCAGUUUUUCUUCUUUCUUAUUACGUUCGAUUUUUCCCUUGUGCGUAUACUUUGCAGCUCCAAAAAUUUCCUAAUGCCUGAAAUUCUUGCUCACAUUAAAACUGCAACGAGUCCUCGAUAUUCUGAGUUACGAGUGUAGUGUCGAAAUUUCCUGCAGUUGGCGAUGUCAAUACCUGAUGUUUAUUGAAUUUGUUUCAGUUUGCAGCACUAGAACAGUAAUGUGCUGCAGUUUCUUCUAUCGCUGUAGAUGUGGGAAGCUGUCUUUCGAUGCAUUGUUUCUAACUAAACUAAUCUGGUUGAUAAUGUAAUCUAAUGUUAACGUUAAUGCUCCUCUUUACCAACAUUGGUUGCCUCGAGUCACUCCAUAUUUUUGCGCUGUAUUCUAGUUAAACAUUUUCUUUAUUUUAUAAUACAUAAAUAUUGAUUGACUUUAUUCUCAUCUCGAGUAGUGAAAUAUUGUUUGUAUUGUCAAUCUCUUGAACGGAAGAGUACAAACUCAUGCUCCUAGUCAUAAACGCGACACGUGACACUUGGUAUGUGUUUUUUGUAUGUGGUUUUUUCACACCAGCACCAGCAGCCUUUACUCGAUUACUUCUGGUUAGUUAAGCCAGGGAAUUAUUGUCCCAUAGAUAAAUAUUAACAAUUCUUGCCAUUAUUAAUAUUUACGUGCCAUUUUAUCACUAAGCUGUUGAUAAAUGCUCAGCUCCAUACCUUUACACUUGAGAAUUUCCCCCUUGAGCUCCGUUUUUAUAAUAACUAUCUUGAUGUUUUUAUUUUCUUCCAUCUGACAUGACGGUUUGAAAUUGUGAUGCUCUCAAUUUUGCCUGCGUUUUCUCCAGUUUUUCUUCUCUUCAUUCUAUCUUAUAUCUCUUUUUUGAAGUCUCAAGGGUUUGUAGGAACGUAAUACUAAUUACAUUGUGUACUAAAGCAAAACAGUAAACGCUUUGUACGGCUCCAAGUUUGCAAUUCCGAAUGAACUCAACUACUUCGAGAGACCACUCGGUUCGUUGCCCAUUGUAUAGGAAACUAUCCGCUGCCAUGUCAUGCACGUUUAAUCUUCACAUGACAAGCAAGGAUGUCAAUUCAUCGCUCCAUGUCAACUUUGCCUGUACAAGCUGACGUUAGCUCCAGCAAUUACGUCUCCAUGUACUAACCACUAACGGAAGUUCCGGAUUCUAACGGAAGAUCCUGGGAUUCUUCAUCGCCCGCACGUACCGUCACCAGAUCAACCCUUACGUGUCGAGCGA